rnacentral:lncRNA from 1 species
AGUUAAGCCCCCGGGGGCCCAGUCCAAAGUGGCCCCCGCCUCGCACCUGUGUUCCGCCAAGCGUGAGGGGAAGGAGGGAGAGCACAGUCAGCGGUUGUGCACAUCGUAUCUCAUCGCCAGAACUUGGUCUCCUGGCCACAGCCAGCUGCGAAGGACGCUGGGCAGUGUGGUCUUUACUUUGGGUGAACAUAGGCCAAGCUAAAAAUCAGGAGGUCCAUCACUGCGAGGGAGAAGCAGAGAAUAAAUAGUGGGGACAACCAGCAGGCUGACAAAACUGGUGAAUGACACGGACGUGCUCCCGCCCUGAGGGAGCUCACCACCGGGGCAGGGGGAGAUGGAUAUUAAAUGACAGGGAGCCCAGAGUUAAUGCUUCCACUGUGAUGAGGGUGCUCUCGUGGGGAUAGGGUUAGGAGGAAGGGGAGAGGAGUGGGAGCAGUGAGGAGCUUCCCGCCAGGCAGGGGAACCGCACAGGCUAGGAUCCUGUGGCAGGCAGGAGGUGGCCCUCGGGAGCACUGGCAAGGAGCUGCUGUGGCUGGACCUCUAGUUGUUUGCCUUGUCAACUACCAUCCCUUAAGCACCUACUGAGUGCUAGGCACUGGGAUACAGGAAGCAAGCAUUGUGGAAAGGACCAGAGGCGCGAACAGAGCGGUUCAUUGAGAAAUCCCUUGAGAACAAAGAUGGGUCUGUUUCUGUAGUGGUUUGGUUUCCAAUAAGAAAGCUGCAUUUGAAUAUCAGCAGGACUGUUUCCUGGUUCCCACAGUCCACGCCUUUGCCUCUGGAAACACUAAAGGUGUGACAAGAGCCCACAGACAUCUGGAGAAAUGAUUUAUUUUAGAAAGUCACCAUUUUUUCCUCCUGAGGGCUCUGAGUUUACCUAACGGUGAGCUGCUUCUCGUUGUGAUGAAGCCAUUUAGAUGUGGACGCUGUCACCACGGGAUAAAGAGCUCGUCCCAAAGUCUCUCAAAGAGCCAGCAGAUACCUCCGACGUGGAGUUGUCACCCCACUGGGGGACGUCCCUUGACAGAGCAGAGAAGCCGCUGCUGCACAUGGGUUUCCACUCGUUCAUCAGAGCGUCGGGUCGCAGGUCAGACGUCUGGGGCCAACAACGUUUAGCACUGUGGGUCAUCAGUCCCUGCGGCUGAGGCUGAAGGAAUUGAGCUGGAUCUUUUUAAUGUUUCUGGAACUUGUUUGGAGGCAAAAGACGAGAUUUUUGAAAAUGGAGGCACUUGAUGAGCAUUGCAUAACCCAGGGUAGACUGUAAGUGGAAAUGUCGUCCACUGGCUCUCCAGAUCGUGCGUCUACAAUUCGUGUUGGUCUACACAAAUGGAAGCUUCCUGCGAUUUUUGUGGAAGGCGUGGGGUAAUCCUGUGCUUGGUUUGUUUGAUGCCAGAGAAGGCCGACUGGUCUGGCCCUUGUGAAGAAGCAGAGCAGGAAGCUCUGAAGUACGGAGUGAGUGUGUGUGUGUAUGUGUGUGUGAGUGUGUCUAGGGGGCAGUGGAGUCCGGCAGCACGCGUACCUGAAAAUCCCCCUUCCCUCCCCUGUGAGCCCUGCUGCAGAGGGAGCGGACGCACACGGAACUCCCCCGGAGGACGCUCCUCAGCCCACGGUCCCUCCAUUCACCAAACCGCUCAGGUUAGAAACUGAAGAAUCACCCUUCACUCCUGUCUUUCUGGGUCCAUCCAGAAUCUGACAAUUUCAUCACAGCAUCAAAUAGAUGAGUCAGACCCAUCUACUGCCCGGUGACUGCUGAGGUCCCCUACCUGGUCUCCCAGGAUCUCCCUUAGUCCGUCCCUCGACAGCCUGGUCUCCACACUCAAUCAGUCAUUGUUAUUAAAAUUGUCAGGUCCUGUCACUCCUCUGCUCAAAACCCUCCUCGGGCCUAACACCUCAGCAGCCGGGCCCUUCUCACCUGGCUGCCGUUAGAAUCCCCAUCCCCAGGCUGUCCCCUCACUGAGUGACUCCAGGGUGCAGCCAGGCCAGGAGCCAGUACCCCGAGCUCCCGCCUGGCCCCUCUGCCUUGCAUCCUUCACUCUCCCUUUGCUCCCACACACCAGCCUCGCCCACCUCCUGUGUUGCUGCCUCAAGGCCAUUGCCUCUGCCUGGACAGGUCCCUCACCUCCUUCAGGUCUCUGGCCAACGUCACCUCCUCAGAGAGGCCAGCCCACCAUUCUCUACUAUCUGCUCCCUUCUCCUCGAGGGGCUCUCACUACGUCUCCCACCAGGCUGGGUGGCUCCUGUUUUGUUCCGGAACCCCCAGAGUCUAGAAGAGAGCAGGCACAUAGCAGGCACUCAAUUAAGUGUCUUCACUGUAGGAAGAGUGAGUAAGGAUGGUGACCCCACCUGGGCCAGCAGGACUUGUCUAUGGAGGUGACCUUCCCAGUAGAAGGGAGCUGCUGCUUAAAGGGCAAAAGCCCCGGACCUAGACCUCAGUGGGUAAGGGCUUGAUCAGGGCGACGCCUGCUACCAGCGUGAAUGUCUUCUCCUCUCUGCCUCAGUUUCUUCUUCUGUAUAAUGGGAAUAAUGGGACUUGCUCCUUAGUGUGAGUUUGAGGAUUAAACGCAGUGAUGGAAGUGAUGCUGUUGGCCUGAUUCGAGGCUGAAUAGCAUAAUUAUGGGUCAAGAGCAAGUCAGCUUCAAUCGGAAGCAUUUAAGAGUCAUCUUAUACUCUGAUGACUUGAUUUAUGUAUUGAUGAACUCUUACUAUCACCCACUAGGAAUGGCGGCCCAGAGAGGAGCCGUGCGUGGCCCGAAGGUGCACAGCCCCCCAGGCUCCGGGGCGAGAGCCGAUCUCAGGCCUCUCGCAUGGUCGGCCUAGCCAGGGCCUCGCGUCGCGAUGGUCGCCGGCGACCCCUCCCUAGGGCGGCCGAGGGCGCGGCGGGCCGCGGGGCGCCUUUGUGCGCCGCCUGAUUUCCAUUUCCCCAGAUAAACACGCGGCGGGGGCCGCGACCUCGCUGCAUAGCAAAUACCUCGGCUCCCGCCCCGCGUGGGGCCCGCGAAUGAGAUGAUUUACUCCUGUUUUGCAUAUUAAUUGAUCUAAAUGCCACCCGUUCUGGAAACAAUUAAGAGGCCCUCUGGCGCCCGGGGCCGCGCGGUGGAGGCGGCGAAGUGCCGGGCGCCCCCUCGGGGCUGCGGCCGGGCGCGCGGGGGUCGCGGGG